rnacentral:lncRNA from 1 species
ACACUAAGGAACUUUCCAUCAGCCAGCUUCAUUCAACAGGAUUGUUUCCCUUGAAGCUUUUUUAAAAAAAACCUCACUCCUUUCGAUAAAAAAAAUAAAAUAAAAUAAAGUGAGGAAUUCACACCCAUCUUUCUCUAAAUGCACACUGAGCAAGUGAUAAAUAUCACUGUUACAGAAGAAAUGUAUCUCCUUCCUUAACAAAUACACACAAUGGAUCUAGUGACAGCUUGAAAGGGGCUCAAAUGAGACAAAACUGGAAACUGGCUUGGACCUCCUCUGUGUUAACUGCCUUCUGUGCUGGGAAGGUGCUGCAUUUACAGGGUCUCCACACCAACCUGGACUUGAAAAAUCAUCUCCCAGAAGUGCCUCAGGAGAAGCCUCAAUCAAUAUAUCAUAAUCAGCCCUGGCAAACAUUUUACUUUCUAGAACAUUCUUCCCCAAAGAGCAUUCUCUGCAGUGACCCUCCUAUGCUGUUUUCUUCCUGUUUAUUAACCACGGGGUCGGAGCUGGUUUUCUAAUUAACUUCAUCUGGAUCAUGAAGUCAUCCAUUUGUGACCUUGGACUUCACAUCUCAUUUUACAGAUGAGAAAACUAAAGUUCACUAAGGCUGAGUGACUUUCUGCUGAUCAGAAAGCUAAGCAAACUGAGCCCAGAAUGGUCUUUGGACAAGGAGCCUAGGGCUUUUUCUGCUAAAGCACUUCUGGGUCCCCAGCCAAACACAGCCAUUCAAAAGUGGACUGUCAACCGCCAGCACUGAAAGAAGCCAGUGAUCCUGGCACCUUCAGUGGGAAGCUGCACUUGACAAAGAUUUGAAAACUCUGGAGGGGUGACAUCCUUGUGACUAACGUUAUCAAAAGGUUCCCAAAUCAGAGCUGGAUGUGUCCAGUCACUGCUGAUGCCAAGCUGUCCUCCAACUGCAACCCCAGCAGGCAGCGCCACAGAAGAAAGUAAAAUGCUCCCUCUGUUUAUCUUGGGGUUACACACACACACACACACACACACAGGGAUUAGUAUUCAACCCUCUUCCUUCAAUUCUUUCCAAGCAAAAUCAGAGGCUAGAAAAGGACAAGCCUGGGAAUUUGGGAAUCUUCUGCUCUUUGCCCAGUAAGAACACAUGGAGUAAAACAAAACAAAAAACAGAUUGCAUUCCUUAAAAGACACGUAUUUCCUAACAGUGCUUCCUCCCUGAUAAGCCAUCCAGGCUAACACUGAGCCCAGCGGGUAACUGCAUGGUGCUCACACACAGGGUCAGUCCUCCAAAAAAGGCAGUGAGUGGAGGGGACCUCGUCCUUCUGACCUCAGCUUUCACGGUGACCUCUCCUUUCCUUUCCAUAAGAAACCCACAGUAACAGUCUUAAUAUUUGGAGUUCGGGGGCUAUUUAAGCUUGAAACUGAAACACAUACUUCUAAAAGAAAAUCUCUCUUCUGAACACUCAUUUUUAAUUUUCAACCAAAUAGUACGCUUCUGAAUUCUUUCAUUUGCAUACCAAGAAUAAGGAACAUGCAAACAGACCUACGGGUGGAAAUAUAUGCCACAGGCAUAGCCCUGAAAAAAAAUAAGAGUUAGGAACACGGGCUGGAGCAAUCAAAUUUGACUCCCACCAUCACAUGGAGCUGCUGUCAUGGAGCCACGUCAUGGACGUUCCAGCUGCUCCUACUUCUCCCUCUCUUCAUCAACCAAAAUAAUCAAGUGUUUCCACAAAAGGGCAGUGUGAGGAUGAAGCAGAAACUCUCUCUCUGGUACUAUUAGAAGUGCAUUUUCUUUUCUUCCUUCCUUCUUUCUUUCUUUUUUUAAAUGGGCUGCAUGCAUGGCAUAUGGACGUUCCCAGGCCAGGGAUUGAAUCCUAGCUGCAGCUGUGACCUACCCUGCUGCUUCAGCAAUGCUGGAUCCUUUAACCCACUGUGUCAGGCCAAAGAGAGAACCCGCACCCGAGCCACUGCAGUCAGAUUUUAACCCACUGCACCACAGUGAGAACCCCUAGAAGUGCAUUUGCCAUCAAUCCCUAGAGUCACUAUUUUUUGUCUCCGACUAUCUUCUGGAAUAGCUCUCCAAUACGAAGUGGAGAAAUCAGAACCUUUUCUCAUUGUCUGCCAUGUCCCUCCAUGUAAGAAAAAGGUGAUCCUUCCACCGUUUAUGCCAGUGUUAGAACCAUUUCUCCAGCUCCGGGGACUACUCUCUGGUUACAGUAACUACAUAAGGUAGGUAGGUAUGUGCAAAUUCUGAUGGUUGCUCACAGAUGGGGGUCAAAAAAUAGUAGAGAGACAGAGAAGAAAAAGAAAACACUUCCCCGCAGCCCCCAAAAGAAAAAGAAACAAUGUCAAGGUGAAUAUAGUUUUCCGAUUUUCUUAUGUGGGGAUCACUAGCUCCUGAACUUAUAAGGGAUGUUUUCUUAAGGAAAAUCACUUUUCUUCUGAUGGACAGACUUCAUCUUGAACAUGAAUGCUAUUAAGAUCAAGUAAACUUUCCAAACUAGAUAUCCUCCUAAGGAACAUCAAUGAUUUGGGAAUCCAGGGUAAAAUUAAGUCCUUUAAAAUGCCACAGACAGGAGUUCCCAUGGUGGCGCAGUGGUUAACGAAUCCAACUAGGAACCAUGAGGUUGGGGGUUCGAUUUCUGGCCUUGCUCAGUGGGUUAAGGAUCCGGCAUUGCCGUGACCUGUGGUGUAGGCUGCAGGCGCAGCUUGGAUUCUGUGUUGCUGUGGCUCUGGUGUAGGCUGGGGGCUACAGCUCUGAUUUGACCCCUAGCC